rnacentral:rRNA from 1 species
GACGAACGCUGGCGGCGUGCCUAAUACAUGCAAGUUGAGCGAUGAAGAUUGGUGCUUGCACCAAUUUGAAGAGCAGCGAACGGGUGAGUAACGCGUGGGGAAUCUGCCUUUGAGCGGGGGACAACAUUUGGAAACGAAUGCUAAUACCGCAUAACAACUUUAAACAUAAGUUUUAAGUUUGAAAGAUGCAAUUGCAUCACUCAAAGAUGAUCCCGCGUUGUAUUAGCUAGUUGGUGAGGUAAAGGCUCACCAAGGCGAUGAUACAUAGCCGACCUGAGAGGGUGAGCGGCCACCUUGGGACUGGGACACGGCCCAAACUCCUACGGGUGGCAGCAGUAGGGAUUCUGCAGCAAUGGACGAAGGUGUGACCGAGCAACGCCGCGUCAGUGAAGAAGGUGUUCGGCUCGUAAGACGCUGUUGGUAGAUAUGAACGUUGGUGAGAGUGGAAAGCUCAUCAAGUGACGGUAACGAACGAGAAAGCGACGGCUAACUACGUG